AGCUUUUGUUCUCUUCAAUUCAUGUCUGGUAAAUCUGUAAAAACAUGAGGAAGCGACAUACAUUUUUAUUAACAUGAAAAAUGAUUGCGAACUAUGUGCAUUAUGAUGUUCUGUUUUUGCCAGUAAAACAAGUGAAAAACAACACUUGAAAGCGCAAAAAGAUUCAAAACAUCUAAUCCAUCCUUUAUUGUUGUCAUGGGUACAACAUAUGUUGAAAGCCGAUAUCGUGUGGUAAUAGCAAUAAAACAUUGUAAAAUAAUUUGAAAAUAUAGCACACAAGUUAAUAAAACUGUUUUACGCAAUUAAUUUUUUAGGAUAUAGAAUAAAGUAGAAUUCGAGUAGUUUAUAAUUUUAAGAACCUUUAUUUGCUUUGGCAGACAAUUCCUUGUGAAUUGGUAAGAGACAUUUAACUUGAAAAAGAGAUAGAGACAUUUAUUUGGAUGUUGGGUGAGGAAAGAGUUUGGCGGCACGGUAUGUAAUUAGGAUGAUCGGACG
rnacentral:lncRNA from 1 species